GUGAGUAACACGUGGGCAAUCUGCCCUGCACUCUGGGACAAGCCCUGGAAACGGGGUCUAAUACCGGAUACGACCUGCCGAGGCAUCUCGGCGGGUGGAAAGCUCCGGCGGUGCAGGAUGAGCCCGCGGCCUAUCAGCUUGUUGGUGGGGUAAUGGCCUACCAAGGCGACGACGGGUAGCCGGCCUGAGAGGGCGACCGGCCACACUGGGACUGAGACACGGCCCAGACUCCUACGGGAGGCAGCAGUGGGGAAUAUUGCACAAUGGGCGAAAGCCUGAUGCAGCGACGCCGCGUGAGGGAUGACGGCCUUCGGGUUGUAAACCUCUUUCAGCAGGGAAGAAGCGAAAGUGACGGUACCUGCAGAAGAAGCGCCGGCUAACUACGUGCCAGCAGCCGCGGUAAUACGUAGGGCGCAAGCGUUGUCCGGAAUUAUUGGGCGUAAAGAGCUCGUAGGCGGCUUGUCGCGUCGGAUGUGAAAGCCCGGGGCUUAACCCCGGGUCUGCAUUCGAUACGGGCAGGCUAGAGUUCGGUAGGGGAGAUCGGAAUUCCUGGUGUAGCGGUGAAAUGCGCAAAUAUCAGGAGGAACACCGGUGGCGAAGGCGGAUCUCUGGGCCGAUACUGACGCUGAAGAGCGAAAGCGUGGGGAGCGAACAGGAUUAGAUACCCUGGUAGUCCACGCCGUAAACGUUGGGAACUAGGUGUGGGCGACAUUC
rnacentral:rRNA from 1 species